UACGGGGGGAGCAAGCGUUGUUCGGAUUUACUGGGCGUAAAGGGCGCGUAGGCGGCCAGCGCAAGUCAGUUGUGAAAUCUCCGGGCUUAACUCGGAAAGGUCAACUGAUACUGCGCGGCUAGAGUGCGGAAGGGGCAACUGGAAUUCUCGGUGUAGCGGUGAAAUGCGUAGAUAUCGAGAGGAACACCUGCGGCGAAGGCGGGUUGCUGGGCCGACACUGACGCUGAUGCGCGAAAGCCAGGGGAGCGAA
rnacentral:rRNA from 1 species